ensembl:lncRNA
CAAGUAUGCCAGGGCUUGUCAGCUUCUCACAAAUGGAGUUCUGUGAUUCCCUCACUGAGAGAAGGACAUCAAGGAAGUCUGGUUGCAAGAACAAGCUGCCUAUGCAAGACACAAAACAAUAACAGUGACCUUGAGAAGCUGAGGACUUGUAUUCUCCAAGUGCAUGAUGUACUGCUAGAGGGAAGUGUCUCACAUGACCUGAAGUGAGAGCUACAGCAAAUUGGACUUCAGUAAGAAGAAGAUAGGCUUAGUAAGGGAAGAUUUAUUUCCGAAUAAAAUAAGCUUGGACCAUACUCUCAGAACAUACAAGUAUGUAAAUCAGGAAUACGAGUAAAGCCAGCAGAGCUGUAUAAAUGAAUAAGAGAAUAAUCAAUAUGUAAGUAAUUAAGCCACAUCCUUCUGCGGAACCUACCUACCUACUUCCAAAAAGGCUGCAGUGAUUCCUUUGCAGAGAUCACAUGAAAAGAAGUACAUGGUGUCAGAAGAGGAGAGCUCUGAGCUCCUGUACAAUGCAGCUGAAUGCAACGUGUGUGCUGAGCCCGACCGAGCCUUGCACUGGCUGAUGGCUUCACCAUUCUUGCCCUGCAGAAAAGAAAACAUUAGAAACGCUCCUGGUUUUUCCUGAGAGGUCCAGGGUGUGCUGAGAACAAGGUGGAGAAACGAGGCCCUGCCUACCCCUUUGUUUUGUGAGGCAGACAUGCUCCACGACCUUGAGGAUGACAACAACAUUUGUUCCUCACACAAAGAUAAAGCUGGCCACUGGCUGCGCUUCCCCCUCCCCUCGCCAACCACAAGCAGAACAGGCAGGAUGUCGAACAAAGGAACGGCAGAAACAGCAACGAGCAUUACGUUCAGAUUAGAGGACAUUCAGGGUCUGUAAAAGUUCCAUUAGAAUAAGCACAAAUCCAGUCUCAAUGAGGAAGGGGUCUUUUCUCUCUCCUCCUUUGGUUUGUAUUGUUAAUCUUUCUUCCUGGAUGAUUCCUCACAAGCGCUUUUUGUUUUCUUCUCUGGUUCUACGUGCCAGGACUAUAAGGAGGAAGGGACUGAGGCUCUUUCUUGGCAAGCUUUCAAAUCACUUCCAUAGGAGACAUACACCCUGUUGCCAUCUCUCUAAGAGUAUAAAUUAAUGUAGUGAUGAGCAGUCCAGAGUAAUUCAAGUGCUGGUAAAGCUUCAGUUCUUCUUCAGUCCCUCAUUAUAGUGAGACAUUACUCUGGCAUCUGCUGUGCAGCUUCAGCUUGAGGAAUAAACCUACACAUGGGAAGAAGUGGAUGAGCAGAAAGCCUGCAUUUACACUGCAUCAUCCCAUGAUGAAACAAGAAUUGCUAAUUAUAAUACAGCGCGUCAGGGGAAAGCAUUGCUGACAAUUCCCUCAGCAACAAGGUUACCUUUGAAAUACAUAUGUAUGUAUGCACACACAUAUAGAUUGAAUGCAGUUUCCAGUAAAGCGUCAUUUCAGAGAGGCAGCUAUUUUAUGUUGUUUGCAAACCUUUUGCCAGAGUGACCGCUACUGUGAUGGCAUUUUUCUUUCAAUUUAUCUGUCUUCCUCCCUUAUACAUAUUUAGGCAAAUAAAAACGUUUCUUUACAG